rnacentral:rRNA from 1 species
GAGGAAUAUUGGUCAAUGGACGGAAGUAUGAACCAGCCAAGUAGCGUGCAGGAUGACGGCCCUAUGGGUUGUAAACUGCUUUUGUAUGGGGAUAAAGUUAGGGACGUGUCCCUAUUUGCAGGUACCAUACGAAUAAGGACCGGCUAAUUCCGUGCCAGCAGCCGCGGUAAUACGGAAGGUCCAGGCGUUAUCCGGAUUUAUUGGGUUUAAAGGGAGCGUAGGCUGGAGAUUAAGUGUGUUGUGAAAUGUAGACGCUCAACGUCUGAAUUGCAGCGCAUACCGGUUUCCUUGAGUACGCACAACGUUGGCGGAAUUCGUCGUGUAGCGGUGAAAUGCUUAGAUAUGACGAAGAACUCCGAUUGCGAAGGCAGCUGACGGGAGCGCAACUGACGCUUAAGCUCGAAGGUGCGGGUAUCAAACAGGAUUAGAUACCCUGGUAGUCCGCACAGUAAACGAUGGAUGCCCGCUGUUGGUACCUGGUAUCAGCGGCUAAGCGAAAGCAUUAAGCAUCCCACCUGGGGAGUACGCCGGCAACGGUG